rnacentral:ncRNA from 2 species
UUGUUCCGAAGGGGUGCAUCUUUCAGAUAACUGUGUCGAGGAAUGUAAAGCAUGUUUAGAACAUGUUCUUAAGACACACAGUAAGGGGAAAGUUGCCGAAGCUUAAUUUUGAACUUUACACAGAAUCGAGCUGGUUACCAAGGGAGAAACCUUGGGACUGUCACUAUUAAAAAUAGUGGAGCACUUCGGGAAUU